UACGGAGGGUGCAAGCGUUAUCCGGAUUCACUGGGUUUAAAGGGUGCGUAGGCGGAUAUGUAAGUCCGUGGUGAAAUCUCUGGGCUUAACCCGGAAACUGCCAUGGAUACUAUGUGUCUUGAAUGUUGUUGAGGUGAGCGGAAUAUGUCAUGUAGCGGUGAAAUGCUUAGAUAUGACAUAGAACACCAAUUGCGAAGGCAGCUCACUAAGCAAAUAUUGACCGCUGAGGCACGAAAGCGUGGGGAUCAAACAGGA
rnacentral:rRNA from 1 species